AUAUGCAUCUAUAUGCACUUUGCAUAUAUUCCGCUCUCUAUAUGUAUGUUACAAACAGAUAUACCUCUUACUUAUACAUAGGGUACAAUUCACAUGAGAUUUCUACCGAAUGGUUAUAGUACGCUUGCUACGUACAACUAAAUUAACCCCGAAAAAUAUUAAAAAGUGAUAUAAAUAAAUAGGCACAAGCCUGACUAAGGGAAAAUACUAAAUGAAUUAAGCAAGUUAAAUAUACAAUGAAUGAAAUAGAAAUGAAGUUGAGAUAAAUACCGAAACGAUGACCUAAAUUAACCGAACAAAUGGAAUAAAGCGAAUAACAAUAAAAUAUUUGGGGAACAAGCAAGUAAUAUUACAAAAUAAAUAUCAAACCAAUAAUAAAUUAUAAAACCCUAAUUUUCUAGACCUGAUUACCUGGUGCACACAAGUAACUUACCAUAGAUACAACAGUUUGGGAACCUAAUACUCUAAUAUACAAAUAUGUCAAAUAAAAACAAAGGUAACUAGAUUUGAAACCAAAUAAUUAAAAACUAUACAUCAACCAAAUGUCUGAAAUAUAAGCACAAUAGUUACUCAAACCCAAAAACUUUAAAUGUUCCCAAACCAAUCCCUUCAUCGAAAGACUUCCAAGUCCGAUACUACAAUCCGUAAAAUUAGCACCAGAGGAGGUGCUAAACCAUGUUUCCUGUAGGUGCAGGUAGAAAGAUGACAAAAAUGGGACUGGAAUGUCCCAUAGCUUGCUCCCAAAUCGACAUACUUCCAUGAUGACUUGACUGUGGCUGUAGUGGUUUCUCUAGGUGGUCAAAUAAGGGGCUACGACUUCAUAUUAUGGUUUCUCCCUAAUGGCGAAUGAUUCCUAUUCAGACUCCAAAAGAAGUUGUGUCACACACAUGUCUCCCUAACUCCAGACAACCCUUGGUGGUAACUUUUUAUUUUAAUUAAACUUAAGACGUUAAAUAAUUCAGACUCUAGAUGGAAACCAUGCGCCAUUUCCUGGUACCAACGUGCCAACCUCACUUACAGCCACAAGUCAAAUGACCAUCCUUCCUCGCUACUUCAAAGAGGAGAACCUCAAACGACCACAGAACAUGAAUUAAAUGUCACGGAACGAUUCGACAAGGAAUUCUAUGAGGAAA
rnacentral:lncRNA from 1 species